GGAGGUGCUUCCAGCACUGCUCUCUGUGCUAGAGAAGCAGCCACCAUGCAGCAGGAUCUUCUGCAGCGGGGAUGAGGCCGUCUUUGCCCUGGCUGCAACUCUGGUGCUGUGGAGGAUUGCCCCCACGUCCGAGUGGCACUACGCAAUGCUCAUUUAUUCUCCCCAGCUGCUCGUGGAUCUGCUCUUUCAAAUUUUCACUACCACAGAGCAGAUGCCAAAGAAUGUUCAGAACUUCUGGAGAGCAUGCCAGAAGGAACACAGCCUUCGCAGCAACCCCAAAAGGUUUGCAGCGCAGACCAUGAAGGCUCUGCUCUCCCGACUGGGCUUUGACAAGAAGCUGGUGGCUCUGGAACACCUGCAGGUC